rnacentral:lncRNA from 1 species
GGGGUGGCAAAAAGGCUGAAAAGGAACCAGACUGGAGGCUGGUGAGUCAGUGCUUGGUUCUGUGGCCAGCUGGUAGCCAUGGAAGAUACCAGAGUAGGAAGGUGACUGACUUGCCUCAGGAAGACCACAACUGAUUGGUGAGUUUUUCAUUCCUAUGGCUACAACUUUCCAGGAAGCAGAAAUAUAGUCAUGGGUACAGAAUGAACGUGGGGAACAGGUUUAAUCUAGAGUACUGAGUGGUAACAGCAGGGCAGAAGAGCUUCUCUUUAGAAAGGCGGAAGGCAUGGGGAUAGGAUGACCUCUGGAGUUUGCCUUUAGCACAUCCUCUGUCUUGAGGGAACUCUGGAUCAUGCUCCCUAGGGCACCAAAAAUUGGUGGGAUCCAGGUGAAAGUGGCCAUUCACCCAAGAACAUCAAAUGAUCUUGGCCAGGUGCAGUGGCUCACACCUGUAAUCCCAGCACUUGUGGUAAGCUGCGGCAGGCAGAUCACUUGAGGACAGGACUUCAAGACCAGCCUGGCCAACAUGGUGAAACUCCAUCUCUACUAAAAGUACAAAAAAUUAGCCAAGUGUGGCGGCCCGCACCUGUAGUCCCAGCUACUCAGGAGGCUGAGGCACAAGAAUUGCUUGAACCCACGGGGUGGAGGUUGCAGCGAGCUGAGAUCGCACUGCUGCACUCCAGGCUGGGCAACAUAACAAGACUGUCUCAAAAAACAACAAAAACCUUGCUGACUUUGAGUAACACGAACUACCUAAGGUCCAGAUAUCAUCUAUCUCCCUAGAUCCUGUUAGCCCAGCCUCCUCCCUUCACAAACUGGUUCCUAUCAUCACGGUCCCAGCUUGUCUAAGGGUGUCUCCGGCCUCUUCAUCCACAGUGAACUACCAAACUGGGAAUUUUGGAAGCGAGGUUUGGCUUCAUUGUUCAACGAGAAUCUUCCUGUAUGCAAAGCUCUAGAACACUGGAGCCUUUGUAAGGAGGUGCCAAUUAAAAUGCCUGUCUCCUA